rnacentral:rRNA from 1 species
GACUAAGCGUACACGGUGGAUGCCCUGGCAGUCAGAGGCGAUGAAGGACGUGCUAAUCUGCGAUAAGCGUCGGUAAGGUGAUAUGAACCGUUAUAACCGGCGAUUUCCGAAUGGGGAAACCCAGUGUGAUUCGUCACACUAUCAUUAACUGAAUCCAUAGGUUAAUGAGGCGAACCGGGGGAACUGAAACAUCUAAGUACCCCGAGGAAAAGAAAUCAACCGAGAUUCCCCCAGUAGCGGCGAGCGAACGGGGAGCAGCCCAGAGCCUGAAUCAGUGUGUGUGUUAGUGGAAGCGUCUGGAAAGGCGCGCGAUACAGGGUGACAGCCCCGUACACAAAAAUGCACAUAUUGUGAGCUCGAUGAGUAGGGCGGGACACGUGGUAUCCUGUCUGAAUAUGGGGGGACCAUCCUCCAAGGCUAAAUACUCCUGACUGACCGAUAGUGAACCAGUACCGUGAGGGAAAGGCGAAAAGAACCCCGGCGAGGGGAGUGAAAAAGAACCUGAAACCGUGUACGUACAAGCAGUGGGAGCACGCUUAGGCGUGUGACUGCGUACCUUUUGUAUAAUGGGUCAGCGACUUAUAUUCUGUAGCAAGGUUAACCGAAUAGGGGAGCCGAAGGGAAACCGAGUCUUAACUGGGCGUUAAGUUGCAGGGUAUAGACCCGAAACCCGGUGAUCUAGCCAUGGGCAGGUUGAAGGUUGGGUAACACUAACUGGAGGACCGAACCGACUAAUGUUGAAAAAUUAGCGGAUGACUUGUGGCUGGGGGUGAAAGGCCAAUCAAACCGGGAGAUAGCUGGUUCUCCCCGAAAGCUAUUUAGGUAGCGCCUCGUGAAUUCAUCUCCGGGGGUAGAGCACUGUUUCGGCAAGGGGGUCAUCCCGACUUACCAACCCGAUGCAAACUGCGAAUACCGGAGAAUGUUAUCACGGGAGACACACGGCGGGUGCUAACGUCCGUCGUGAAGAGGGAAACAACCCAGACCGCCAGCUAAGGUCCCAAAGUCAUGGUUAAGUGGGAAACGAUGUGGGAAGGCCCAGACAGCCAGGAUGUUGGCUUAGAAGCAGCCAUCAUUUAAAGAAAGCGUAAUAGCUCACUGGUCGAGUCGGCCUGCGCGGAAGAUGUAACGGGGCUAAACCAUGCACCGAAGCUGCGGCAGCGACGCUGAUGCGUUGUUGGGUAGGGGAGCGUUCUGUAAGCCUGCGAAGGUGUGCUGUGAGGCAUGCUGGAGGUAUCAGAAGUGCGAAUGCUGACAUAAGUAACGAUAAAGCGGGUGAAAAGCCCGCUCGCCGGAAGACCAAGGGUUCCUGUCCAACGUUAAUCGGGGCAGGGUGAGUCGACCCCUAAGGCGAGGCCGAAAGGCGUAGUCGAUGGGAAACAGGUUAAUAUUCCUGUACUUGGUGUUACUGCGAAGGGGGGACGGAGAAGGCUAUGUUGGCCGGGCGACGGUUGUCCCGGUUUAAGCGUGUAGGCUGGUUUUCCAGGCAAAUCCGGAAAAUCAAGGCUGAGGCGUGAUGACGAGGCACUACGGUGCUGAAGCAACAAAUGCCCUGCUUCCAGGAAAAGCCUCUAAGCAUCAGGUAACAUCAAAUCGUACCCCAAACCGACACAGGUGGUCAGGUAGAGAAUACCAAGGCGCUUGAGAGAACUCGGGUGAAGGAACUAGGCAAAAUGGUGCCGUAACUUCGGGAGAAGGCACGCUGAUAUGUAGGUGAAGCGACUUGCUCGUGGAGCUGAAAUCAGUCGAAGAUACCAGCUGGCUGCAACUGUUUAUUAAAAACACAGCACUGUGCAAACACGAAAGUGGACGUAUACGGUGUGACGCCUGCCCGGUGCCGGAAGGUUAAUUGAUGGGGUCAGCGCAAGCGAAGCUCUUGAUCGAAGCCCCGGUAAACGGCGGCCGUAACUAUAACGGUCCUAAGGUAGCGAAAUUCCUUGUCGGGUAAGUUCCGACCUGCACGAAUGGCGUAAUGAUGGCCAGGCUGUCUCCACCCGAGACUCAGUGAAAUUGAACUCGCUGUGAAGAUGCAGUGUACCCGCGGCAAGACGGAAAGACCCCGUGAACCUUUACUAUAGCUUGACACUGAACAUUGAGCCUUGAUGUGUAGGAUAGGUGGGAGGCUUUGAAGUGUGGACGCCAGUCUGCAUGGAGCCGACCUUGAAAUACCACCCUUUAAUGUUUGAUGUUCUAACGUUGACCCGUAAUCCGGGUUGCGGACAGUGUCUGGUGGGUAGUUUGACUGGGGCGGUCUCCUCCUAAAGAGUAACGGAGGAGCACGAAGGUUGGCUAAUCCUGGUCGGACAUCAGGAGGUUAGUGCAAUGGCAUAAGCCAGCUUGACUGCGAGCGUGACGGCGCGAGCAGGUGCGAAAGCAGGUCAUAGUGAUCCGGUGGUUCUGAAUGGAAGGGCCAUCGCUCAACGGAUAAAAGGUACUCCGGGGAUAACAGGCUGAUACCGCCCAAGAGUUCAUAUCGACGGCGGUGUUUGGCACCUCGAUGUCGGCUCAUCACAUCCUGGGGCUGAAGUAGGUCCCAAGGGUAUGGCUGUUCGCCAUUUAAAGUGGUACGCGAGCUGGGUUUAGAACGUCGUGAGACAGUUCGGUCCCUAUCUGCCGUGGGCGCUGGAGAACUGAGGGGGGCUGCUCCUAGUACGAGAGGACCGGAGUGGACGCAUCACUGGUGUUCGGGUUGUCAUGCCAAUGGCACUGCCCGGUAGCUAAAUGCGGAAGAGAUAAGUGCUGAAAGCAUCUAAGCACGAAACUUGCCCCGAGAUGAGUUCUCCCUGACUCCUUGAGAGUCCUGAAGGAACGUUGAAGACGACGACGUUGAUAGGCCGGGUGUGUAAGCGCAGCGAUGCGUUGAGCUAACCGGUACUAAUGAACCGUGAGGCUUAACCUUACAACGCCGAAG